CAACUGGACGAUCAGAAAAAAAUCAAACCGGUCCAGUUUCGUCCAGCGCGUUUUCAUGAAUUUGAACGCGCCGAGAGCCAUGGCUGGUACAAGGAAGGCGCCGGCCAUGGCCAGGUGAACCGGGUGCCAGGGUGAUCCGCCAUCGCUGCCAUCGGCAAUCAGGCGGAGAACAUGCGCGGGAAAAGAUGCAAUUCCCAGCAUGA
rnacentral:misc_RNA from 1 species